UACGUAGGGGGCAAGCGUUAGGCGGAAUCACUGGGCGUAAAGCGCUCGUAGGCGGCUCUUUAAGUCAGAGGUGAAAUCCCAAGGCUCAACCUUGGAACUGCCUUUGAUACUGGGGAUCUCGAGUCCGGAAGAGGUGAGUGGAACUGCGAGUGUAGAGGUGAAAUUCGUAGAUAUUCGCAAGAACACCAGUGGCGAAGGCGGCUCUCUGGGACGGUACUGACGCUGAGACGCGAAAGCGUGGGGAGCGAACAGG
rnacentral:rRNA from 1 species